CUGCAAGGAAAAGUUAACGCACGAGCUUCCCAGAAGGAAGCCCCAUCCUCCCAUUCCUAGGGAGCCUGCGGAUGCCUUGGAAGGCGGAAUUCGGAGACCACACGGGAAGAGCGCAGACCGCGGGCAUCUCCGCAGCCACCCCCAGGGCGCGCCACCUCCCCAGGCAGCACAUCCCGGGACAGCCGGGCGCACCGACACCGCAAGGUCACCAGGGAAAAGGCGACUUUACAUAAUCUCACACCGGGCCGCCCGGGCACCUGCGCGCCGAGGCGAAGCUGCCCCGGGGCCCCCUCCCUGUCGCGCCCGCGCUGGGCGAUACGGGGGCGACACUCGGAGCGACUAGGCUGGACGCCUGGGACCCGUGGAUGCCCGCAGCGCCGCCCUGAGCCGGGGGUGCGGGACGCAAGGCGGGCUCCCAACCCCGGGAUGCCCGGGCCGCCGCCGCGGCGGUCUGGGCGAGCAAUGCGGGGAGCGGCCGGGCCCGGCUCGCUGCUGGCCGUAAUCCCCACGCUCCCUGCCCGCUGCCGGCGUCCAGCGCGCCCUCCGCUCCCGGGACCGCCCCGCGGCGCACCUGUCACGCGCCUUACCUGAGUGGCUUUGUGGAACUGCUUCUUGAGCCCGGCCACCGACAUGGCGCAGGAGGACCCGCGGGACUGCUGCGGUGCGGGGAGCGGGCGGCGGCGGAGCCAGGAGGGAGGACCGAGCGGUGCGGCGCGCUGGCCGAGCCGCAGCUCGUCGUGCAGCCGCCGGGGCAGUGGGCGCGGGGGCGCGGAGAGGCGCGGGACGCGGGCUCGUGCGGAGAGACACCCUGACGUCAGGGGCGAGCGAUACGCACUCUUAAAGGGGACGCGAGAAGCCCCGCCCCGGGCGCGGGGUUGGUGCGGCAGGUGCCGGGCCACGCGCUACCUGGGUACCGGCACCUGGCGCCGCCGCACCCGUGGGUCGGCUGCCUGCUUAAGAGGACCAAGGGGGUCCUCCCGCCCCGGGAGUGUCCUCCUGCCCCCGCAGACUGCGGCCCGGUGGCUGCAGGUUGGCAGCCCAGGCACCGGCACGACUCAGGUGACUUGCUCGGCUUCCAGGUAGCCUCAGAGGCGCUGCCUAAACCAGCCCGCCUGCCCUUUGAGCCUGGCCUCUUUGCAGCCUGGAAAGGAGGAGUGGCAUUCUCUCUCGGGACUGAGAAGCACAUAGAGAAAAACUUUUGGUCCCCAUGUGGGGACCAAAAGUUAUAAGGAGAAGAAGCCAGAGUGACAGAAGCCAAGAUGAGAGACAUUGCCAAGAAUGAGGAAGGAGACAGCAUGGCAGAGUGGGAGUACUAGGAAUGCCUUGCAUCACCUCUACAAACCCUGCUGCCUGGGAGGAACCACAGGCCCCACUCCCACCCUGCCAGCCAGGCUGCUUGAGCACAGGGUGAACAGCGGAUACAAGGGAAUCCUGUCCACCUGCUGAUCUACCAAUCGUAGUUCUUGAUAAUGUGAGUUGAAACUCAUAACGGCAGAACCAAGCAGAUAGUGGUCGAGCAACAAGAGCACAUGGACUCCUGACUGAGGCUGCAAAGGGAAGCAGACAAAAGGGGCAAAUCUCCAGUGUGCUAGUCGUUACUGAUGUUCAGGUACCUUCCACAUACAUGGUAGAGUUGCACCUGCCAAACCCCUCGUGGUUAAGUGGAGCACUGUGACAAGUUUUAACCAGUGGGUUAGGAAGCUAAGUGACUGUCACCUCUUGGCAGAGAAUUUAACUGUUGGAAUGAGAUGCUACGAAGCCCUUUCCCCUCUCCAGCAGUAUUUUAGGUCGCUGUCGUCUGUCAAACAGAAUCCAGAGUGAGGAUGAAGCAGGGUAAAGUCCCCAGUUAAUGUUGAAAGACAUUUAGCAUUUGUGAGAAAUAAACCUGAGUCAUUUUAA